rnacentral:rRNA from 1 species
UGAGGAAUAUUGGUCAAUGGACGCAAGUCUGAACCAGCCAAGUAGCGUGCAGGAUGACGGCCCUAUGGGUUGUAAACUGCUUUUAUAUGGGGAUAAAGUGGGGAACCUGUUCCCUUUUGCAGGUACCAUAUGAAUAAGGACCGGCUAAUUCCGUGCCAGCAGCCGCGGUAAUACGGAAGGUUCGGGCGUUAUCCGGAUUUAUUGGGUUUAAAGGGAGCGUAGGCCGUUUGGUAAGCGUGUUGUGAAAUGUAGGAGCUCAACUUCUAGAUUGCAGCGCGAACUGUCAGACUUGAGUGCGCACAACGUAGGCGGAAUUCAUGGUGUAGCGGUGAAAUGCUUAGAUAUCAUGAAGAACUCCGAUUGCGAAGGCAGCUUACGGGAGCGCAACUGACGCUGAAGCUCGAAGGUGCGGGUAUCGAACAGG